CAGACCUCUUUUACCAGACCUCCACCACCUUCUUGCCAGACCUCCACUGGUGGUGGAGGCAAAGAUAUUUUGAGGAAGAUCCCUGCCUAUCUGAAGCCUUUUAAAGGAAGAAGACUUGGAUGAGCAGGAUCCUUGGAUCCUGGUUGAAUUCAAGAACAAAAAGAAGGCCAAGCAGACUAAAAUCCAACUAGAUUAUCUGGGAACCUCAGAUCCUCUAGAAUUAAGUUGUCCCAUAUGAGAUGCCAGGAAGGUUUUGGUGUGUACAGUAACAUGGAUCACCCUGACUGCAGUUGCCAAAUGUCUUUCCUUCCACCCUACUGAAAUAACUUGUAAGCACUGGGCUCUGUUGGGUCUUAUCACAGGCUUUUGUCCCAGCCAAAGAGUUAUUAGAUCCAGCAAAGGACUGCAGCUCUUUCUCCACACCACAAGCUUUUAUUGUGUUGUUGAAUGUUCUGAACAGCAUCUCACACAACAGUGAGCAUCACAUACAUUUCAAUGAGCCCCUUCAAGGAAGAAAUUAACUUAAUCUGUGCUGAAUGUAUAUCUCAAUCUAUUGCUUUUUAACUUAUAAAAAUGACCACCUCCUACUAUAUUAAAUAGUAAGAUAAGAGAGGCUUGCACUAACUUUUCUGCUGCUAUAAUCCUGUAUCUGCUCUCUCACAUGUGGCCUCAGAACAGAUAAAUUAUACAGCAUGUGCCUUUCCCUGCUGCCAGAAAAGAGGGCUGGAGAAUGGUCAGAGAUUACUGGAUGUCAAAAGCCAGGCAGCAGGGCUUUGUGAAAAAGCAGGGGUACUUUGGGCCUUUUCAUACCUUCUGUUUGGUGCUUCCAGGCUGCCUCCAGGUGCCCACCACUGUGGGGACAAGCAGUCAGCAUCACCAAAAGCUGGAGAAGUGGACCUCAGCCAUAAAUAAAGCUUAAUGCAUUAUUGAUGUGGAGAGACUAAAAGGAGCUACAAGGAAGGAAAAGACAACAGGAUUGGCUGUAGAGAAUAGAGGAAGUUACAUGAAUGUUAUACAGACCAACACACCCUGUUUUGAGGGGAUCACACCUGAGCCAGUGGCUGCUACUCUUGUAGCAUACACUGCAUGCAUCACUUGUAGUGACUGCACUCAAGGAAUGGCUGUACACGUCACAGAAUACAUUUCCUACAAGUGCAUUGGUCUUACCUACGUCUGCUUGCCCACUUAUUUGGUGACGUUGGUCCCAACAUGCUAAUCGCUACUGCAGAAGCUUUCCCUGUCCUAAAAAUACUUCUCAGUUUCAUCUCUUGUGUGAACACUGGAAGACAGUGUCUGCUGAUUAAGUAAGCAAAUGGUGAUGUGCCUUCAAGAAAACAUGAUUCAAAACUACAGCAAAUAUAUAUAUCUAUAGGAUUCACAAGGAGAAGGAGGAACACAUGAAUGACAAGGAAAUGUGUGUGUAUGGGGCAUUUGGCUCACACAGCUCUGUACCCACCGCUUUAAUACACCUGAUGUAUUACGCUGUCUUGUUAAGGGUGAGAAGAUGAAUGAUGUCCACUACACUGGCAAAGCCACGAGGGUACCCAAAGCAGAGAGGAGCAAUGCAGUGUGCAGCAGCCAUACACAUGGGCGUAGGCUCCGUGGUUCACACAGGGAGCACACCACAGGCAGUACAAGGACCCUUCUUACCCUUAGCCUUCCAUUAUUCAGGAAUGCUCUAGAUUUCUUACCAUGAAAGCAGUUGCUCAGUGUAAAGCUAGACCCAAGUUGGCAAAAACCCCACUUUCUCUCCGUGCAGCUUGUAGUUACCUCCAUCCACAUUCAUCCCACUCCACCACUUUUACCUCCUCUGCUACAGACACAUCAGCCUCUCUAGCUCAGCAAUCAAGCAUACAGAGUUGACAAGCAAACAAGGGGGUAUCUCAACUCUUUCAGAGGCAUUACUGUAACUCUCUAAGACCAAUUGAACCUUGCCCUCCUCCACUUGUGUUUCCCUUUCCCCUUUAAUUAGUGUGUUUUAUAAAGCAAGUUUUUCCUAUGUAUGGAGAGGGUUUAGAUGUCAUCAGCAUCACCUGCCUCCAGAGACCUGUUCCAAGCACGCUUCCCUGGAGGCACUGUGCACAGAGUCACUCAUCAGCACUGUUUGCUGGGAGUCACAGAAACCAACAGACUGAGUGAAACCUGACAGACUGAGGAAGCAAAACUCAGGGUAAUUGAGGAAUAAAUAGAAAG
ensembl:lncRNA